CGAACCCAGGUCAAUCAUGUGCAAGGCAAGGCAAGAGCCCUCCCUGCUGUGCCAUCCCUCUUGCCCCAGGAAUGUAAUUCACGGAUUGGAGAGACUUGGGGGCGUCAGUAGAAAGAUCAGUGAAAGGAAUCCUGGCUGCUGGGGAGAAUGUUACAGCCAAGGCUCUGAAGCACGCGCCAAACCCUCCUCCCGUCUCCCAUUUCACAGCUGGGGAAACUGAGGCCGGCUAAUAAGACAACUUCAAGCUUUGAACUUGCCAGUGGAGGCCUCCUCAGCAGGACCCCGAAGCCUCACUCACCCUUCCUGUUUUGGGGUAGCCUCUGUUGCUCCCCUCAGGAGUCCUUCCCCUUCCUGCCCUCUCCUUGGAUCCCUCCCUUGUUUCUUCAUCUCUUCUGGGGCUCCAACGAUCUGACCCCAUCUCCCUCCUUUGCCUGAUCCUCCCAACACCUCCUAACUCCAACCUGUCCUAUUUCAACCCCUACACUGAUAAAAGGGGGACCUCCCUUCCCCAGACUCUGGUGUCUUCUGGCACUUUCCUCCCUACUGUUAUUCCCACUCAGACUUCUGCCACCCUCCUCUAGUGACUGCCCUCACCCCUGCUGAUUCUUUCAUCUCUUUAAACACACCCCUGCAGCCCCAGUGUCCAUUUUGGCAGGAUCCCAACCCUCGAUUGCUUUGGUCGCCCAACCCUUGACCUAGUAGCUCUGUGCUCACCGGCCUCACCCACCCCCUUUUCUCCCUUCUGCCCACCCUGCCAUCUCUGUCCCCAGCUCCCCUGCCCCUGCUCCUCCUCCUCCUCCUCCUCCAUCUUCUGUCUUUUCCUCCUCCUUCUUUC